rnacentral:rRNA from 1 species
UACGUAGGGGGCAAGCGUUGUCCGGAUUUAUUGGGCGUAAAAGGCUUGUAGGUGGCCACGCCAAGUCGGAUGUGAAAUCUCCCGGCUCAACUGGGAGGGGUCAUUCGAUACUGGCGGGCUCGAGGCCGGUAGGGGGAAGUGGAAUUCCCGGUGUAGUGGUGGAAUGCGUAGAUAUCGGGAGGAACACCCGUGGCGAAGGCGGCCAGCUGGGCCGGACCUGACGCUGAGGCGCGAAGGCGUGGGGAGCGAACGGG